rnacentral:rRNA from 1 species
UACAGAGGGUGCAAGCGUUGUUCGGAAUCAUUGGGCGUAAAGCGCGUGUAGGUGGCUUUUUAAGUCUAGUGUGAAAGCCCGGGGCUCAACCCCGGAAGUGCACCGGAUACUGAAAAGCUAGAGGGCGAGAGAGGAGAUUGGAAUUCAUGGUGUAGGGGUGAAAUCCGUAGAUAUCAUGAGGAACAUCUGUGGCGAAGGCGAAUCUCUGGCUCGUUUCUGACACUGAGACGCGAAAGCGUGGGGAGCAAACAGG